UGAAGAUGAUACACACAGGGCAGAAGGUCACGUGUUGGUGGAUACAGAGAUUGGUGAAAUGCCGGCCAAUGAUUUCUGGGAACUACCAGAAGACAGAAGGAGCAAGGAAGGAUUCAACCCUGGAGCCUUCAAAGCAAAUGCGAUCCAGCUAACACCUUAAUGAUCUGUAGCUCCAAAUCCGUCAUCGCUCCCAGUACCCUUUGAAGUAUCACUCCAACACCUAAUGGCUAAUCUUCUACUUCUACUAAGAACACAAUGGUCUGCUGCUUUCCCACUUGCCAAUGAGAUCAAGAACACACCUCAGUGUGGCUGGUUGUCACAGCCAGGGGUGCACUGUGUACGGACAGAGGGACUGGUGGAGUACAGGAGCACCUCAAGAAUCCUCAGACCAUGAAGUUAGGUGGAGAAAAUCCUGUCUUGGGGGACACAGAAGGAUGCAGAGACUGUGAGUGACUAGAGCGAAUAUAGCCUUAGAGCUGAUGACCAAGCCCAGCAGGAAAGAUUGGCAGGAUUCAUCAUUCACACCUGAAAAUGAGACCUUCCUUCUGAUGCCAAGCUGUGGAGUUAUUGACAAGUACGAGCAUACUGUCUUGAGCAAUGUAGAUAAUCAUCUUCACAUCAAAGACACCUGCAAGGUUUCAUUUCCCGUAGCGCCAUGGUACCUCCUGCCUGCCUGAGUAGCAAAAAUGACCCAAAUGUCUCUCUCACCUUUUGCCAAG